rnacentral:rRNA from 1 species
UGCGCAGGCGGCAAGGCAAGUCGAGUGUGAAAGCCCCGGGCUUAACUUGGGAAUUGCGCUCGAAACUACUUUGCUGGAGUGUGGCAGAGGAAGGUGGAAUUCCACGUGUAGCGGUGAAAUGCGUAGAGAUGUGGAGGAACACCAAUGGCGAAGGCAGCCCUCUGGGCCAACACUGACGCUCAUGCACGAAAGCGUGGGGAGCAAACA